rnacentral:rRNA from 1 species
UUUGACGUUACSGACAGAAUAAGCACCGGCUAACUUSGUGCCAGCAGCCGCGGUAAUACGAAGGGKGCAAGCGUUAAUSGGAAUUACUGGGCGUAAAGCGCGCGUAGGUGGUUCAGCAAGUUGGAUGUGAAAGCCCCGGGCUCAACCUGGGAACUGCAUCCAAAACUACUGAGCUAGAGUAUGGUAGAGGGUGGKGGAAUUUCCUGUGUAGCGGUGAAAUGCGUAGAUAUAGGAAGGAACACCAGUGGCGAAGGCGACCACCUGGACUGAUACUGRCACUGAGGUGCGAAAGCGUUGGGAGCAAACAGGAUUAGAUACCCUGGUAGUCCACGCCGUAAACGAUGUCAACUAGUUGUUGGGUUCCUUGAGAACU